UAUAUGUUGAUUUUAUCAUGGAUCCCAGUCCUGGUUAAACGAAGUGGCAAUCUUGUAGAUAUCCAUAUUCUUUAAAAUUUGCAACAUAAUCAUGGAUUAUGUGCAUGCAUAAGGGGCAUGCUAGUUUUUCUUUUUAUCUUAUUUCAUAUUGCUUCAUUUUCUCUUUAAUUUUAAGUUCUUUUCAACACAGUGACAUUUUGCUUUAUAUUAACAGG
rnacentral:misc_RNA from 1 species